rnacentral:rRNA from 1 species
UACGUAGGGGGCAAGCGUUAUCCGGAUUUACUGGGCGUAAAGGGAGCGUAGGCGGACUUUUAAGUGAGAUGUGAAAUACUCGGGCUCAACUUGAGUGCUGCAUUUCAAACUGGAAGUCUAGAGUGCAGGAGAGGAGAAUGGAAUUCCUAGUGUAGCGGUGAAAUGCGUAGAGAUUAGGAAGAACACCAGUGGCGAAAGCGGCUCUCUGGUCUGUAACUGACGCUGAGGUUCGAAAGCGUGGGUAGCAAACAGG